GGGACACGUGGUAUCCUGUCUGAAUAUGGGGGGACCAUCCUCCAAGGCUAAAUACUCCUGACUGACCGAUAGUGAACCAGUACCGUGAGGGAAAGGCGAAAAGAACCCCGGCGAGGGGAGUGAAAAAGAACCUGAAACCGUGUACGUACAAGCAGUGGGAGCACCCUUUUGGGUGUGACUGCGUACCUUUUGUAUAAUGGGUCAGCGACUUAUAUUCUGUAGCAAGGUUAACCGAAUAGGGGAGCCGGAGGGAAACCGAGUCUUAAUUGGGCGUUAAGUUGCAGGGUAUAGACCCGAAACCCGGUGAUCUAGCCAUGGGCAGGUUGAAGGUUGGGUAACACUAACUGGAGGACCGAACCGACUAAUGUUGAAAAAUUAGCGGAUGACCUGUGGCUGGGGGUGAAAGGCCAAUCAAACCGGGAGAUAGCUGGUUCUCCCCGAAAGCUAUUUAGGUAGC
rnacentral:rRNA from 1 species